rfam:Tetranychus urticae London genomic scaffold, scaffold_42
UACCUGGUUGAUCCUGCCAGUAGUCAUAUGCUGUCUCAAAGAUUAAGCCAUGCAUGUCUAAGUACAUACUGUUUAUAAAGUGAAACCGCGAAUGGCUCAUUAAAUCAGUGCCCUCCCGCGAUGGACCACCUCACCGUGGUGGGAGGGUGCUAUGUCCCCACUAGGCUAUUGAUCAUUACUGGGUCUCUAGCUGGCGGAUACUAAGAGUUCAUCGGGUAAUACCUGAGCCAAGACACAGGAACCUGUUCAGUGAUUUCGGUCGCUGUCUAAGGACUAGCAGUGGGGAUCUUAGCAACUUCGGUUGCAUUUCUUGUGAUGACUCUGAAUAACUGAGCAAAUCGUAUGGCCUCUGAGCCGACGAUGUAUCCCUCAAGCAACUGCCUUAUCAACUGUCGAUGGUAGGUUAUGCGCCUACCAUGGUUGUAACGGGUAACGGGGAAUUAGGGUUCGAUUCCGGAGAGGGAGCCUGAGAAACGGCUACCACAUCUAAGGAAGGCAGCAGGCGCGCAAAUUACACAAUCCCAGUACGGGGAUGUAGUGACGAAAAAAACAAUACGGGACUCUAUUGAGGCCCCGUAAUUGGAAUGAGUACAAUUUAAAUCCUUUAACGAGGAUCUAUUGGAGGGCAAGUCUGGUGCCAGCAGCCGCGGUAAUUCCAGCUCCAAUAGCGUAUAUUAAAGUUGCUGCGGUUAAAAAGCUCGUAGUUGGAUUUCAGUCGAACCUAUGGGGUCCACUGAUUAAAGGGUUAGAUGGUGAUGUUAGGUUUCUUGCUUGUGUCUACGGAUGCUUGCUUGAACCUUCAUUCCUCUUUCCUGGUGGUUACAUUCAUAGUGUUUAGACAGAAAAUUGCUCGAUAUUUGCUAUCAAUGCUCUUUACCGAGUGUUGAUUCAAGCGAUCGAGACUUUUACCUUGAAAAAAUCAGAGUGCUCAAAGCAGGCGUCCAAAACCUCGAAAGAGGUGCCUAAAAACGGUAUGGUCAACCAUCUAUAUGAUGCGUACCACUACCUUAACUUGAAUGAUCUUGCAUGGAAUAAUGGAAUAGGACCUUGGUUCUAUUUUGUUGGUCUUAAGAAUCCAAGGUAAUGAUUAAGAGGGACAGACGGGGGCAUUUGUAUUGCGGCGCUAGAGGUGAAAUUCUUGGACCGUCGCAAGACAAACUACAGCGAAAGCAUUUGCCAAGAAUGUUUUCAUUAAUCAAGAACGAAAGUUAGAGGUUCGAAGGCGAUCAGAUACCGCCCUAGUUCUAACCAUAAACGAUGCCAACCAGCGAUCAUUCUGAGUAACUAAUUUCAUGACUCGAAUGGAAGCUUCCGGGAAACCAAAGUUUUUGGGUUCCGGGGGAAGUAUGGUUGCAAAGCUGAAACUUAAAGGAAUUGACGGAAGGGCACCACCAGGAGUGGAGCUUGCGGCUUAAUUUGACUCAACACGGGAAAACUCACCCGGCCCGGACACUGAGAGGAUUGACAGAUUGAGAGCUCUUUCUUGAUUCAGUGGGUGGUGGUGCAUGGCCGUUCUUAGUUGGUGGAGUGAUUUGUCUGGUUAAUUCCGAUAACGAACGAGACUCUAGCCUACUAAAUAGACUUGCAGUUUACACUGCAGUACUCCCCCUUAGUCACCUGUGGGUGGUAGUAUCUCUUGAUGGUUUCGGCUGUUGAGGGCUCUGCUGCUAUUAGCCUACAGAAUUGGCUAGGGUAAGGAUGCUGUAGCACUGUAAGGACUUCUUAGAGGGACAAGCGGCGCUCGCAGCCGCACGAAACAGAGCAAUAACAGGUCUGUGAUGCCCUUAGAUGUCCGGGGCCGCACGCGUGCUACACUGAAGUGGUCAUCGUGCAUACUGUUUCCUGCUCCGAAAGGAGUGGGUAACCGCUUGAACCCAUUUCGUGAUGGGGAUUGGGCAUUGUAAUUAUUGCCCAUGAACGAGGAAUUCCCAGUAAGCGUGAGUCAUUAGCUUGCGUUGAUUACGUCCCUGCCCUUUGUACACACCGCCCGUCGCUACUACCGAUUGAAUGAUUUAGUGAGGACUUCGGACUGGUCAAUCCAGACCAUUGGGAAACUAGUGGUCGGAUUGUGCUGGAAAGAUGUUCAAACUUGAUCAUUUAGAGGAAGUAAAAGUCGUAACAAGGUUUCCGUAGGUGAACCUGCGGAAGGAUCAUUA